rnacentral:rRNA from 1 species
AUGUUGAAACGCGAUUACUACGGAUUCCAGCUUCAUGCGGGUGAGUUACAACCCGAAUCCGAACUUCGGACAGGUUUAGGAGAUUGCCUUCACCUUUCGGUGUCGGAACCCAUUGUCCUGACCAUUGUAGCCCGCGUGUAGCCCGGAUAAUUCGGGGCAUGCUGACCUACCGUUGCCCAUUCCUUCCUCCCCUUUAGCAGAGGCGGUCCCAACGAUGUCCCCAUCAACCCGAAGGUUAUGCUGGCAAUUGUUGGCGUGGGUCUCGCUCGUUGCCUGACUAAACAGGAUGCUUCACAGUACGAACUGACGACGGCCAUGCACCUCCUCUCAGCUAGUCAAGUAGAGUCUUCAUCCCGACUAUCAUUCAGCUGUCUUAUCCGGUGAGAUUUCCCGGCGUUGA